CCACUCUGAAGAAGGAGAAAAAAAUAAAAUAAUUUGAAUUUGUUAAACAUUUUUGGUCACACAUUUAUUUCACAGUUCUGGUGAUAUGAGUAUUAUUUUAUACUAAUAAAAAGAAACCGGCAUGAGUAGGUGUGCCAACUUUUGACUGGCUCUUUCCUGUAUUCAACUAUAUUUCUUUCAGUUCUGGGGUUUAGACUUAAAAAACUGUAACAACUGGAAAGAGGUGUGGAAGUGUUGUAGGUUGUGUGGGAUUGGAGGAGAAAACUGAUUAGCCUGCUUUAAUCCCGUCUGGGCCAGAUGGUGCACUAGGCUUACCUUCGGGCCUCUUUUGUCCCAGCUAUGCUUCAGGCAUCACAUCCUGCUCAGAGCACAAGACAGAUUGUUCUUUCACACUGAGGAAGAUCUAACGUAGAUUUUGGGGUGAAGCCUGCCGCCUUUGACCUGUUUUUGGGUGGCUGUAUAGCUGGAUACCUUGGAGUAGUUUAUUAUGCAAUCCAGAACUUUGCCAAUGUCUACACUAAACUGAAAGCAACUGUGAAAGCCAAGUACCAAUAAACUGGAGUAAAGCAGACAUUGCACCAGAGACAACACAAGCAAUUAAAUGCCCAAUUGGCGACUUUCAUUCUCAUUCUGCAAUCAAAAAUCCUUCUGGAACUUUACUGUAUGUUUACACUUCGGUCAUUAAAGGGAAAGAGACAAAAUUAGAUGACUUCCCAUGUAAAUAUGAUGUGUCGGGAAUAGAACGGAUCUCAAGUUUAAAAAGGAACCUGAUGCCAACUAAGAGUGAGCAGAUCUGUGGCCUGUUCAGUGUGCCACUUAUAUUGUUAAACAGUGUGCCAUCUUAAUCAUUGUUUCCGGCUAAAAUAUGAGUUCUCUAUUCAUACUAGUGCUUUCUCCAGUGAAAAAGGCAUCUCAUCUCAAUCAGGAGAGGAAUAUGCACAGAUUAAGCACUGUUUAGAAGCAAAAUCAGUUCUUAAACAAAUAUGUUGGUGGAUUUUAUCAUGAUUUAUGGGCUCAUGUUUUGACCAGAAGUGAGAGUUUACAAUUAAAACAAGUUAAUGAUAAAUUUGUUUCUUACAAAUUCACAUUAUUUCACUUCACAAGAUGUUAAUUGAUGGACUGCAGUCACGCAGAUUACUUGUGAAUUAUUGUGAUGUAUUUAUCAGUUGUUUGGACUCUCAUUUUGACAGCAGCCAUAGGUUAUUUCUCUAUGUGAGUGAUUAUUAAAAAAGUAGAACUUGACAGAAACCGUUCUUGAGACCCAUUUCCUGUUAUUAUGUAUGUAUGGAAUGUUUUUCCCUGUGGAACUUUCUGAGUAACCGCAAUGCUGUUCUGUGCAUAAUAGGUCGCUGAUGGAAUAUUUGUUGGUACAGCUACAGAGGAUAUUUUGUGUGGCUGACACUGACUGUGUAUAAGUGCCUAAUGCUCAGUUAAAUGACUCUCUUGAUUAUCUCUUAUGAAUGAAGAACUCCUUUCAUUCACACAGGAUUAGUCAUUCAUUACUGUCAUCCAAAAUAUCAUAUCUAGAAUGACAUUAGUAAAUUCCCCUAAUGUAUCAUAGUUACUGUGGAGUCUAAUGUCUGCACAUUUAUGGCUGUAGUAGCAUGAGUCAUAGACAGAAAAAGGGAAAUUGA